CCUGUGAGUGAUAUUGAUCUCAUCACUCAUCUUAUUACUGGAUUGGAUCACUAUUAUUAUCCAGUUGUUGUUUACAUUGAGGCUAACAUGUCGAAUAUGGAUUUGAGUGAAGCAUAUUCUAUGUUGUUAAC
rnacentral:snoRNA from 1 species